rnacentral:lncRNA from 1 species
GCUUAAAGAAACACGAUUGAAUGCUUAGUCCUUGAUUCUUGAAUGAUUCAUAUCAAACCCAAGCCUAAUUGUGUGCACUACUUGGUGCCCCAACUUGCUUUCUAAUAAUUUUCUUUCUUUUCCAAUUUGAGAACCCACCAUUAACAGAUGAACCAUCACUUAAGCUAAAAAGAUAGCAGUAUAAGCAAAAUAUAGCAUCUUUUGCUAUACUGUAUUUCAACCAACUAGGAUACUCGUUAUACCAUAAAACACAAAAUCGCCUAUCUUUAUUACCAUUCUUUUGGGUGGAAAUUCAUGAUUGCGAGGCUAAUAUGGACCCCUUUGCACAUAUGCUCUUCGAAUUGCAUCUUGAACAUCAGCAUCAUAAUUUUGUAUUGAAAUCCUCAAUCAAGUAUCCAAAAGAAGCUGUGCAACAUCAAAUUCAAGCCUUUCAUCGCCAACAUCCUUGAUAUUUGUUUCAAUCGGGACAUCUCCAAGAUUAGUUCCACCCAUUUCAUCACCAAGUUUGUCAUCCUUUUUAUCUCCAAUAUCAUUUCCGUCCUUUUUAUCUGCAACAUUUCUUUCAUUAACAUUUUGCUCAUCCCAAGGAAACGCAGAUUUACGUUUAAAAUACUUUUCCAUAAUUGAUACAAACAUAUAAUGAAAAGAAUCAAUUCAAGUGAAAAAGGAAUCAUUCUUUCAUAAAUUACAAUCUCAUUAAUAAUGUUGUAUCUAUUUUGAAAUGUUGAUGCAGUCUCCAACUAAAUCUCAUGAAUCGCAAUUCAAAAACACAAAUCACAAAUUAAUUAUCCAUCAACAAAUUUACAAUUUGCAAAUCACAUAUUCACAAAUCACAAAUUCGCUAAAAUCAUAAACUAACCAGAGCCACUGGACGGAAAUUAAAAUCAGAAUGCUAUACUAACCUUAACUCUCUGAUAGACAACGAUGGAGGACUAGAAAAACUAAGAAAAUCUGUGCAAACAGAAACAGAUUUCUUGAACAACUCAUAGAAUAAAUGGGCUUCCCAUUUUCCUUCUUUUUUCACCAAAAUAAUGCUGGUAAGUUAUUUUUUGUUUUGGAAACUGAAUUUCUUGAAAUGGGCAUGUGUAAGAAAAUCUCAACCUAUAGACCUUCCCCUCCAUAAUCACCUAAGAAUGUAAACCAAAAUCUUAAAAACAAGAAUAAAUGUAUGGGAUCUGAAGUAAUGGGAAAGUAAGUAGAACCUUUAAUUUCUCUCUCAUCUCUUUCUUUCCUAGUACAAAAACCUUAGCUUUCAAGAAUGAAAAUAUUGUAAUGAAGAAGUUGCACACAAAAAAAGGGUUACAAUUGCAUGAAUAAGAAAUUGAAUUAUUGAAUCCCAAAUUCGAUAUAUAAAAUUGCAGCACAUAAGAGAAAUAAUCUCCUUACAAUUCUAAGUGUAUUGCUGUCUUUAGCCAUUUGUGGUGGUAGAAUCGUCGAUGGAGGAAGUCAAACGGUCAGUAGCGACAGUAGGGGUGGAUUAAAUGGUUGGAUUUUGCUUCAAAGUUUGGAAUUGGGAGCUGCCGAGCUGGGAGACUGGAUUGAAUUGGGAGUAGGACAGUUUUUUUGCAUUGAAUUUCAAUUUGGUAGUGGAAUCUAGGGAGUGGAAUUUGGAAUGGUUUGGAUCUUUGAAUUAGAAAGUGGAAGGGUUUUUUUAUUACUCCAUUUUUAUCAUUUUUAUCAAAACGCUACUAACCUUAAUGCUUUGGCGAACAAUGAUGAAAGACUGGAAAAACCAAGAAAAUCUGUGCAAACAGAAACAGCUUUCAUGAACAACUCAAAGAACAAUGGGCUUCCAUUUUUCCUUCUUUUCUCACCAAAAUAAUGCUAGUAAGGUUAUUUUUUGUUUUGAAAACUGAAUUUCUUGAAAUGGGCAUGUGUAAGAAACUCUCAACAUAUAGACCUUCCACUCCAUAACCAUCUAAGAACUUAAACAAAAAUCUUAAAAACAAGAAGAAAUGUAUGGGAACUAAAGUAACGGGUAGGUAAGUAGAACCUUUAAUUUCUCUCUCCUCUCUUCCUCUCCUAGUACAAGAACCUUAGCUUUCAAGAAUGAAAAUACUAUAAUGAAGAAGCUGAACACAAAAAAGGGUUACAAUUACAUGAAUAAGAGAUUGAAAUAUUGAAUCCCAAAUUCCAUAUAUAAAAUUGCAGUACAUAACAGGAAUAAUCUCUUUAAAAAUGCCUGGGUUUUGCUUCAAAGUUUGGAAUUGGAAGCCGUGGAGCCGGGAGACGGGAUUGAACUGGGAGCGGGACAGUUUCUUGCAUUGAAUUUCAAUUUGGCAGUGGAAUUUGGGGAUUGGGAUUUGUGGCGGUUUGGAGUCUCUGAAUUGGAAAGCGAAAUGGUUUUUUUUAAUUAUUC